CAGCGAGCCAGGGAGUAGGUUGGAGCUGUCUCCACACCUUGCUCCAUCCCUCUCAAGAUGAGGGGAUUCUAACCAGCUCUCCACCUGCACUAGGCCCAAACCAGAGGAAAUAACAUAAACCAGGACUCCUUGGAAAAGCCCUCGGAUGCCUCAGUGCCCCUCCCUGGAGUUUUGUCCUGUGCAGUGGCCGUCCAUCUUGCAUCCUUUAGAAGAAGCCUCUUGAAAGCGAGAACCAACAGGCCCAGGAAUCCCUGGAUCCACCUCACCUCCACUUGUGAGUCUAAACAAAAGGGCACUGAGGCCUGGAAAGGCUCUGGGUAAUUAGUGGUAGAAUUUGGAUCAGAACCCAGGUCUCCUGUCUCAAGCAGGGCAUAAGGCAUAAAGAAGCUAAAAGCACACAAACAACCCUGUAAACAGCAUCAGUGCCAUGGAGAGUAGAUUUAAGACUGUCCUGCCCAGAGGCCAGCUGAUCACACAGCUGUCACUGCUGGGACAUCCUGAAGAUGCUGGCAGAUCAUACCUUCCCCU
rnacentral:lncRNA from 1 species